GUCUUACUUCUAGCGUUGUACAACUCCUGCAACCUAGAGCAUUGCGAUUGGAAUGGGUGAACCCUGCUGGCCCAAGGGGCAACAGGGAAGGAGAGGGUCACUGAACGGGCUGAAAAGUGACCUCUAAAUCUCCCUCCAAUUCUGACGUUCAUCGGAUUUAAACAAGGCAGCCGAGUAGACUGUCCUGACAGUGGGCCAAGACAACUCCAUCCAUACUGUCAUUUGAAACAUACUAACAUCUGCUCUACGCCAAGCCCGUGCCACAAUGGGAACAAAGCUUAAACAAGACCAGGUUUCAGUCAUCAAGGAGGUCGGGAAGAAAAUAAACAUUUAAAUACACGAUUACAACAGAGUUAAAUAAUCUCAGCUCUGGGACCAGCAGUUGGCGUGGUGUUUAAGGUUGGACACUCCCAUAUGGCUGACCACCAUUCAAGUCCUGGACCUGGCGGCUUCCUUUCUCACUUUCCGUCUU